rnacentral:rRNA from 1 species
GGCGAACGCUGGCGGCGUGCUUAACACAUGCAAGUCGAACGGUGAAGCGCCUUCCUUUUUGGUGGGUGUGGAUGAGUGGCGAACGGGUGAGUAACACGUGAGUAACCUGCCCCCUUCUUCUGGAUAACCGCAUGAAAGUGUGGCUAAUACGGGAUAUUCUGGGUCUGUCGCAUGAUGGGUCUGGGAAAGAUAUUGUUUCGGUGGGGGAUGGGCUCGCGGCCUAUCAGCUUGUUGGUGGGGUGAUGGCCUACCAAGGCGGUGACGGGUAGCCGGCCUGAGAGGGUGGACGGUUACACUGGGACUGAGACACGGCCCAGACUCCUACGGGAGGCAGCAGUGGGGAAUAUUGCACAAUGGGUGCAAGCCUGAUGCAGCGACGCCGCGUGAGGGAUGGAGGCCUUCGGGUUGUGAACCUCUUUCGCCAGUGAAGCAGGCCUGCCUCGUUUGUGGGUGGGUUGACGGUAGCUGGAUAAGAAGCGCCGGCUAACUACGUG